rnacentral:rRNA from 1 species
UACGAAGGGGGCUAGCGUUGCUCGGAAUCACUGGGCGUAAAGGGUGCGUAGGCGGGUCUUUAAGUCAGGGGUGAAAUCCUGGAGCUCAACUCCAGAACUGCCUUUGAUACUGAAGAUCUUGAGUUCGGGAGAGGUGAGUGGAACUGCGAGUGUAGAGGUGAAAUUCGUAGAUAUUCGCAAGAACACCGGUGGCGAAGGCGGCGCUCUGGACCGGGACUGACGCUGAGGCGCGAAAGCGUGGGGAGCAAACAGG